rnacentral:rRNA from 1 species
GAUGAACGCUGGCGGCGUGCCUAAUACAUGCAAGUCGAGCGAAUGGAUUAAGAGCUUGCUCUUAUGAAGUUAGCGGCGGACGGGUGAGUAACACGUGGGUAACCUGCCCAUAAGACUGGGAUAACUCCGGGAAACCGGGGCUAAUACCGGAUAAUAUUUUGAACUGCAUGGUUCAAAAUUGAAAGGCGGCUUCGGCUGUCACUUAUGGAUGGACCCGCGUCGCAUUAGCUAGUUGGUGAGGUAACGGCUCACCAAGGCAACGAUGCGUAGCCGGCCUGGAGGGGUGAUCGGCCACACGGGGACUAAGACACGGCCCAGACUCCUACGGGAGGCAGCAGUAGGGAAUCUUCCGCAAUGGACGAAAGUCUGACGGAGCAACGCCGCGUGAGUGAUGAAGGCUUUCGGGUCGUAAAACUCUGUUGUUAGGGAAGAACAAGUGCUAGUUGAAUAAGCUGGCACCUUGACGGUACCUAACCAGAAAGCCACGGCUAACUACGUGCCAGCCGCCGCCGUAA